CGGUACCGUCAAUCAUCUCGGCUAUUCACCGGACAACCUUCGUCCCAUCUGAAAGAGGUUUACAACCCUAAGGCCGUCUUCCCUCACGCGGUGUUGCUGCGUCACGCUUUCGCGCAUUGCGCAAGAUUCCCCA
rnacentral:rRNA from 1 species